UGGGCCAAACGCCGCCGCCAGGCGACCGGGCGGCGCCCCCUGCCGGGCCCGCCGGGCGAGCUGGGGCGCGGGCGGCGCUUCGGUGUGAGGGUGUUAUCUGUAAUUACUCCUGUCUGCAGGAAUGGGAAUAACUUCUCUCCACUGAGGGUGGCAGAGCACUGGGACAGGCUGCCCAGGGAGGGCGUGGGGUCUCCCUCUCUGGAGGCAUUCAAAACCCACCUGGGUGUGUCACCUGCUCCAGGUGACCUUGCCUUGGCUGGGGCGUUGGACUAAUCGCCCUCCAGAAGCCGCUUCCAGCCCUAACUACUCUGUGAUUUCGUGGUUCAACACGAUUUAAAUUUUAAAUUCGUAGGUGCCUUGAGGAAGCCUGACUCCUUACCCUUGGGAAAACUCUGGCCCUCGAGGCUCACCCUGAUUUGGGGAGUCCAGCCGGUAAAUGUCUCAUUAGGAGCCGUGGGUGAGCUGUCAUUGCGGCUAACAGAGACAGAGCCAAUACAGACAGCAGAGUUUGGAGAGCUUUUCAGGUGGCUGAAUGAAGGUGUCUGCUUUUGGAUCCAGUUAAUUCCUCCCCAGGCUCCACCAAGGGACUGCAUUGAAGAGAUCACCAUGAGCUCUGAUGGCACAUCAGCACUCUAACAGCAUGGCAGGCACACAAUACGAGUCUCACAGAAUCGAGUGACAGAGCAAUCAUUAUUUAGAAGUUUACAGUCCUAAGAGCCAAGACCUAGUAUUUUUCUGUUUUAUAGGCUCUGUUUUUGAAGACUUCACUAGAUUGAUGUCCUGCAAGGUAAUCAUAUUAGAGGGAUUCUCCUCUGUAACGUCAGGCGCUGGAAUUGGAUUCAAGUCAUAAUCACUGAACAUACUAGAGACUUAGGCAUGUAUUCCACUCAAUGAGGAUACAUUUGUGAAACGUUUAAGGGCCGUUUUGAAAGCAGCUCUGUGGACUUGUUAUCAUUGACAGAUACAGCGAAGCUGGAUGAGUAGCAAUAGCUGGCAAACUUCUCCCAACAGCGAACCAAAACCCUUGCAGAUUUGUCAAUACUGCUGGAAUACAGGCAGCUGGCUCUCAAUCUAUUUGCUGCUAUCCUGUAAAUGUCUACAAAUACAUUACAGAGUCUGUGAAAUCCCUGACAUUUUUAUCCCUUGUUUUUUUUUAAAAAUCCUUAUGUCAAUAUUUCUGAGAUUACAGCAGAUGAGAUCCACUAUGUAUUUUUGAGAAAGCUGCACACCCCUUGCUAAUAAUUAUAGUUUCACAUACUGAUUGAAUAGUAGAGGAAAUGUAGUUUUUGCCCUCAGAUAGAGUGCCAAGCAGAGAGGUAUUUUUAUCACAACACCCAUGAUAAAAAUCGCUGUCAACUGGUAGAGUGUCAUAAGAAUGAAGCAAAUUAUUUGCAUUGUUGAAGUAUACAGUGUUGACUACUUUGGAGUUAAAUGAAAUCAUCAGUCCUCAUGCUUGCCUUGGAACAUAUCCCAGAAUAGGAAGGCUAGCACUUAUCAACUAAUCUACUCAGAACAAGCUUAGAAGGCUUUGACACUGCUCAAAUGUCAGCUUGAAUAUCUCCCAUUUGUUUAUUACAUCUAGUUAAUGGGGUCAAUGUGGUAUGGUCAAAAGAAAGUUAUUUAAAUUUCCUGCUCAAAAGAAAAUCCCAGGAGACUGGAAUUUAGAUUUCUAACUAUUUUCUAAUAUGAUUAGGUUGCUUUCUUCUCUGAACUUGUGGUGUUUCUGAAGCAAUUCUUAAUUACUAAUCAAUCUCCUACAGUUAGAUGCUCCUCUGGCGUAUAGACUGAAGGUCAGCAGCAGAGUAAAACAGGAUGGAAAUGUAACACCUUGCUUAGGAAUUUUCUGACUAAACUCAAUGCAGGUUAAUUAUUCUGCAGGUUAAUUGCAAAUGUUCUCUGUCUCUUUGAAAGCUAGGGUUUCCAUGGCAUUCAUAGUAGCUCUUGCAGUUAUUACAAUUACCUGAAAUAUUGACAGAUACAUAGAGAGGUUAAUGCUAAAUUUAAUGAUUUCAGUAACUUCUCCCUACAGUUUCUAACCUUUGUGUUCAGUUACAGAAGAUGUUAAGGAAAACAGCUGUGCAGCACACAUGCCCUGCAGUGGAAAAUUCAGCAGCAGUGCAGCUUGCUGAUAGCAGCUUGCGUAGGAACAGGAAGAAGGACAGAAGGCAGAGACUCACUCAGCUGAAAUCAGACUGAUUUGACCUGUAUCUUUCCAAAAUUAGUGAAUUUCUUCACUCCUUCAGAAGUGAACAAGACUUUAUACUGUGGCAGACCUCCUGUCCUCUUAAAGUCUAGUGUGAUCACUUUAUUACAUAGUUCUGGGGUUUUUUACUGGAGCUAGAAGAUACAGAAUGUUUUCUAGCUCAGUUUUUUCCAUGUAGAGCUGGUGGGUGUACCAUUAGUAAGGAGCAAUGGAAUAGGCUGAAGGAAUAUUGGGCUUUGUCGGUUAUUAUUACAAUUGAUUUUGCAUCACCCUAUUAUAAAAAAUUUUAGAAUACUCAAACAUGUUCCAUUAUUUAAGGUGGUAGCCAUGAGAUUUUUUGGAAAGCUUAAAAUGCCAUGUUAAACCCGAAUGCCAUGUCAGCAUCUGGUAACAUGAAUGUAGGCAGCUAUUACUUCAGUAACUCAAGCACAUCACGGUCUUGUUUUUCAGCUGGACCCCCUGAAUGGCAGUCAAUGACAGAGCAGUAACUGUUUAAGGUACUGGCUUAUCUGGAGCUGAGCCACAUGCACUUUUACACUGCAGGUCUGAACCAUCACUUCCCUUUUAACCGUCAGUCAUGUGAUCCUAAGCACCAAAUGCACCCAGAUGUUGGCAUCUCUGUGUUCAAGGUGCAGCAUCAAGCACUUGAUCAGCAGCUAGGUCUCUAAGUACUUGUAAAACACUGCCUAAAGGUACUUAAAUUCUAUGUCACAUUUAUUUUCAAUAAAUUUAUUUCAGUAAAGGUUGAGAUCCUGUGAAAAACAAGAACAUAUGGCAGGCAUAACCAGGAGCCAGAUCCUAAUACAAACAUAUUGGGAAAGCAAGGUUAAGAUAGAAUAUUAAAAACUCAGAUUAAAAUCAACAAUUAAGAAGCAUCAGAAUCAAUCUGCCUAUGUUAAUGUUUUAUUUCAUUUAGAUGAGACUUCUUGUGAGAAUUAAAAAUGCACUGGUCUGGCUGCCCUUGUUUGAGCAGCUGUCGCUGCAUUUUACAUCACUCAUUUGAAGGCCAAUAAUUUACUGCAAAGUAAAUUGUGAAACAUAGUAAGCAUUAGCAAAAUGAUAAUGUUUAAGCAUAGUGCUCAGAAGAUCCAAUUAAGGAAUCCAUUAGGAGGGCAAAUAAUUAUGUAUAGCAUUGCAUAACACAAUGUACUUUGCAUAUCUGUGUUCUCUGAUCCGUACAAGAGAUCAAGCAACAGUCAUCUAUUUCAGACUGAAUUUAUGUCAACGAGUACCUUUGAGAUCUGGAGCAUAUGCUAAAUUACCCAAGAUAACUAUCAGUAAUAGCAAAAACACUAGAGCCUUUAAGAUGCAGAAAAUUAUUUGCAUAGCUCCACACAGGUACAACUGUGCUGAAAUUGCCUAUUCUGAAAAUUAGGUGUUAGAAGAUAUUUACAAGGUUUUUAAAGGCAUUCCUUCUCCCUGCUAGCUACCCAUAUUUCUCAGAUAUCCUCACCCUCUUGCUUCACAUCCAUAUUGUAACGCUAUCUGUGUAUCUCCACACAGUGCAAAGAUUAUUAAUCACCUAUGUUUACACUUGGAGGCAAAUCUGUGUUUAAGGGAAUGCCUGAUGAGCCACAUCGUGAUGUUAUCAGGCCUGUAGCAUAACACUGCUAAGAGAUUAAAAAAACUAAUAAAGCUUUAAGCAGUUCUCAUUAUCUCAUUUGUGUUUGAGUUAAAUUUGAACGUGAAGGAAUAGUCCUGUCUUUUUUUCAUCUAAUUACUGAAAUCAGAAGAUGUUUGUGUUCAUAUAAUUUUAUUGAAAUACAGUGAUGUCUCAGAAGACCUUGCAAAAGAAUAAAGGAUGUUCAUCCCAGCAAUAUUCUUGCACAAUAUUUGCAAUAGAAAUAUGUACACCUACAGAUAAUAAGCAUUCCCAGGUUUUCUUUUCUCCUCCAUAAAUGUUGGUAAUGGCAAAGUUAGGUGUAAAAAAGCUUUAGCAUACAAAAGUGUAAAAUUUUGCCCAGCUGUAUCCUUUAAAUCGCCGUCAGAAAACCAAACUGCUUUUCAUCAUCAGAAAGAGGAACUACUGUAAAAACAAUGUGUAAAAAACAGUGUCUUCAUAAAUAAUGUUUAGGUAUAGUAGGGCUAUUAAAACACAGAAAAUAUGGUUUAUUACAAUUAUUCUUAAUUCUUUGCUAUGUUCUUUUCAGUAUGGACCAUUAUCUAUUUGUUGCUACCGACAUUGCUAGGUACAUUUCUAAAACUGAAGACUGGAUCUAGUCAGAGACUGAAAUAUAAAACUCAUUAAAUGCAAAAA